rnacentral:lncRNA from 1 species
CACACAUUCUACAUUUCUACUGUCGAGCUGAGCUGACAACCAGUUUACGCAAAAUGAAUACACAGGCUAAAGUUCUCGUUUUGGUCCUGAUUGUGACUUUAGUAAGUCAAGGUUUGGGUCAGCCGAGAGUCCGCGAAACUUGCGGGGCACGAUCUUGCAGUGUGGACGAGGAAGAGUGCUACUGGUCAUGUCGUCACGAGUGCUAUGGCGACGGCGCAUGCGGAUAUGAAAUGGAAUAUGGAAAAUAUGUCUGCGAGUGCUACGAUUAAUAGAGCACCUUAUGUAUAGCGUUCUUCUGCAGAAACGCUUUAUUGUCUGUGAUUAAAGAUGAAAAAUAUGAGAGACGCGCCAUUGGAUAAUAACAUCCUACGCGUAUUAGAUAUUCAAGGUCACCGGAAUUUGCAUCUCUUGUGAACAGAGUAAAAGAUUCCCCUUUUUUGUGAA